rnacentral:rRNA from 1 species
AUUGAACGCUGGCGGCAGGCCUAACACAUGCAAGUCGAAUGGUAACAGGAAACAGCUUGCUGUUUCGCUGACGAGUGGCGGACGGGUGAGUAAUGUCUGGGAAACUGCCUGAUGGAGGGGGAUAACUACUGGAAACGGUAGCUAAUACCGCAUAACGUCGCAAGACCAAAGAGGGGGACCUUCGGGCCUCUUGCCAUCAGAUGUGCCCAGAUGGGAUUAGCUAGUAGGUGGGGUAACGGCUCACCUAGGCGACGAUCCCUAGCUGGUCUGAGAGGAUGACCAGCCACAGUGGAACUGAGACACGGUCCAGACUCCUACGGGAGGCAGCAGUGGGGAAUAUUGCACAAUGGGCGAGAGCCUGAUGCAGCCAUGCCGCGUGUAUGAAGAAGGCCUUCGGGUUGUAAAGUACUUUCAGCGGGGAGGAAGGGAGUAAAGUUAAUACCUUUGCUCAUUGACGUUACCCGCAGAAGAAGCACCGGCUAACUCCGUG